UACAGAGGGGGCAAGCGUUGUUCGGAAUUACUGGGCGUAAAGAGCGCGCAGGCGGUCGUUCAAGUCGCGUGUGAAAGCCCCCCGGCUCAACUGGGGAGGGUCACGCGAUACUGAUCGACUCGAAGGCAGGAGAGGGAAGUGGAAUUCCCGGUGUAGUGGUGAAAUGCGUAGAUAUCGGGAGGAACACCAGUGGCGAAGGCGACUUCCUGGCCUGUUCUUGACGCUGAGGCGCGAAAGCUAGGGGGAGCAAACGGGG
rnacentral:rRNA from 1 species